UGAGCUAGCAGAGGACAGCUCCGCGUUUAAGGCAAUGUCUUUGUGACCCUGUACAUCCCUACUGGCGGGCAGUGAGAGAUGGGAAUCCAGUCCUUGAAUCCCCGCUUCCCUUCCUAGUCCCCUUCCUUCCCUUGGAUCCCCUGCCCCGCUUCCCACCAGCUGACUUUGCAUGGGACAAGAAGUACUGUGCCUGAGACCAGACAUGCUUCCCACAGCCAGCCUCGAAGCCUGAAUUUCUAGCAAUAGAGGAGCAUUACCUUGGGCGUGUAAGAGCUCCCUGCUGAAAUGCAAGUGUCCUAAGACAGAUGGACGAGUUGGAUUUCCCUAGAAGAAGGCAUUCUUCGGGCGGGGCAAGCAUGUGCAAGGACUGUGACAGAAGGAAGCAGGUGCAGACAAGGAUGUGAAGACGGCUGCAGCUGCAGUGGAGAGAGUUCAGAGAAGCUGGAGUGAGAUCACCUGGAGAGGUAUAAGCUUCCACAGCCACAAACCCGAUGAGUUGCCUGGAUGUCAAAGAAUUGAGGCUGCCUUGAAUUAGCAGAAGCAACAGAAAUCCAGAGGGAAUUGACCUUUUUUCUUUUUUCCCUGGUCUCCACUGUGAUUCUCUGAUUCAAAUUUGCGGUGGCAGAAUGAAAGAAAGGCGGGUGCUCCUGGAAGGGAGCACUACAGCAGAGGCCCUGAGGGGAGCAGGUCACGUGGCUGAUGUCCCGAAGGCCUGACUGAAGCAGAGCAGAAGCAAGGCUGCCUGGGUUUGGGGGGUGCUGAGCAGAGGGGCUUUGAGUGUUGUCUGGGGAAAUCCUGCGCCAUUUAAAUGAGCCAUUUAAAUCUGACAGACAAAUUGGUGUUUUAAGAAGAUUUACCAGGCAGUGAUGUGCAGGAUGAG